rnacentral:lncRNA from 1 species
GUGGGGUGCUUUUAUGUUUAAAAUCGUUAUAUACAGGUUAGACUGUGAUUUUAAAAACAAAUGUUGAUAUCUUUUUAUAAUAUUUUCAAAAAAAAACGGUGCGGGAAAUGGACAUGAUUACAUUUCCGGAUGCGGGAAGCGGGAAUAUAAAAAAAAUAAAAAUAUUCUGUUUUGAAAAAAAAUAGGUGCGGGCGGGUCCGUCGAACAAG